GGAGUUGUAGCUCAGCUUGGUUAGAGCGACGGCCUGUCACGCCGUAGGUCGAGGGUUCGAGCCCCUUCAACUCCGCCA
rnacentral:tRNA from 5 species